GGUCUAAUCAAAUACGUUGGGAUAAUAAUAAAGGAAAUCGUAUGACCCUUAAAGGCAUGUACCAUAUUCCACGGGAGCAUGACAUCUCAAAUGUGAGCACCUCCAAAUGGGUCAAGGAGUUAAAUGUGCCUAUGAGGGUGAAAAUAUUUUAGUAGAGAUUGUUACAGUGAAGACUCAGUUUCUACUCUAUGAGCGAAAAAUUGUCCUUGCUGAUCAAGCAUAAUGUG
rnacentral:lncRNA from 1 species